rnacentral:rRNA from 1 species
AAACUUACCAGGUCAAGACAUGGGCGUGAUUGACAGGCUAAUGACUUUUCUCGAUUCCAUGGAUGGUGGUGCAUGGUCGCACUUAGUUGGUGCAGUGAUUUGUCAGGUUUAUUCCGGUAACGAACGAGACCUCGGCCUUGUAAAUAGCUAUGCUGCUUACAGGGACAUUGGCGGCUACGCCAAGGAAGCUCGAGGCAAUUGCAGAUCUGGAAUGCCCUUAGAUGUCCUGGGUCGCACGCGUGCUACAAUGACGCCACGAACGAGCUUGCGUGAUGAAAGUUACGCAUAAUCAGCAGUCGGCGUCUUAAGGGAUAGUCUCUUGUAACUGUGGGACUCCAACUAGGAAUGUCUCGUAAGCACAAGUCAACAUCUUGUGUUGAUUACGUCCCUGCUCUUUGUACACACCGCCCGUCGCUCCUACCGAUCGAGUGUUUAGGUGAAUUUGAUGGACGUAAGGAAGUCAAAUAAACCUGAGCACUAGAGAAGAGAAGUCUAGAUGC